rfam:Thermovenabulum gondwanense strain R270 ATZ99_contig000014, whole genome shotgun sequence.
UAACGAAAAUUACCUUCGCUGCAGACAGUAGGUGCCGAAAGGCUUAAUAUCCUACCGAGGCGUGUAGUAUAGAGGUUUCUUUAUGCAUUUUUAAGGGCAUGAAAGAGGUCUUUCUCUACGUCUGCAGAAAGACCUCUUUUAAUUUUUAU